rnacentral:lncRNA from 1 species
UUGCCUGUGUCGGACUUACUGAGAGGUGUUACUGAGCUCUGUGUGAUUUUUUUUUGGUCUAAUGACAGCUAGCAGAAGAAAAACGAACAUUUUUGAGGGACAUUCCAUGCACUGGACCUCAAUUCCCACAGUGAAAAGCCCUGCUGAAGAUGAAGGUCACUCCCACCCUAAUACUGUGCUUUUCCAACGGGCUUAAAAAAUGGCACACCAGGAGAUUAUAACCCUCACCUGGCUCAGAGGGU